CCUACGGGAGGCAGCAGUGAGGAAUAUUGGUCAAUGGUCGGGAGACUGAACCAGCCAAGCCGCGUGAGGGAUGAAGGUACAGAGUAUCGUAAACCUCUUUUGUCAGGGAACAAAGGCGGGGACGUGUCCCCGGAUGAGUGUACCUGAAGAAAAAGCAUCGGCAAACUCCGGGCCAGCAGCCGCGGUAAUACGGAGGAUGCGAGGUUUAGACGGAUUUAGUGGGUUUAAAGGGUGCGCAGGCGGUCUGUUAAGUCAGCGGUCAAAGCCCGGGUCACAACCCCGGCCCGCCGUUGAAACUGGCAGUCUCGAGUUGGAGAGAAGUAUGCGGAAUGCGCGGUGUAGCGGUGAAAUGCAUAGAUAUCGCGCAGAACUCCGAUUGCGAAGGCAGCAUGCCGGCUCCACACUGACGCUGAGGCACGAAAGCGUGGGUAUCGAACAGGAUUAGAUACCCCAGUAGUC
rnacentral:rRNA from 1 species